GUUAAGAGCCUUGCGCUCUACCAACUGAGCUAGACGGGCUUGGUGCUGCUUCACUGAGCCAGCAGGUUGUGCAAUGACAACAGCUACAUUCACCAUUUCCAUGUCAAAUAACUUAGGAGUUGAUCACCCCAAAAAACUACUCCCUUAAAUUAGUUGUCACAGAUUUAGUGUAGUAUUUUAUACCAGGAUUUUUCUAUUGAAACAAUCUCAUCACACCCUUGCAGUCAUCCGUGUACCACUCGAGUUACUACGUACUUAGGACGAGUUCAAUGNNNNNNNNNNNNNNNNNNNNNNNNNNNNNNNNNNNNNNNNNNNNNNNNNNNNNNNNNNNNNNNNNNNNNNNNNNNNNNNNNNNNNNNNNNNNNNNNNNNNCGCUCCCCCCUCCGCCCCCGCCGCCGCCGCGGCCGAGCCGGCGCUCGACCGCCUCCUCCUCGCCAGCUCCGACCUCGCCGGCCUCGUCUCCCAGGUCGACCCCUUCCCCUCCACCAUUCGCUCCAAACCCUCGCACUCCCCCUUUUUUUUUCUUCUUCUCCCAGGUUAGCGUAGCGAUGUGAAGCGCUGUGUGAAUGUGAUUCGUUCGACCUGAGGCGGUGCCAUGGAUCCAUCCGAUCCGAUCCGAUGCUAUUCUGGAUGGGGUUGGGUGGGAUCCGUUGCUCGGGGUAUCCUGCUAGGAUCUCGUAUUCCUCGAUGAUACUGUACCGGCCGACCUCCGUGGCGAUUUGGGGGCAGCGGAUUUGAUUCAUGCGAGCUGUAAUUUUAGUCACUUGCUCUGGCCCUGGAAUUGAUUAGUAACUUGCCGAUUCCUUUUUAUGCGGAUUAAAACGUUAGUCGCUUGUUUGUCCUCGGAACUGAUUAGUUACUCGCUGAUUCCUCUGUCGGUCAUGUUGUACAUAGAUCUUUGCUGUUGGACUUUGGCUUGCCAAUCUGCCGAUUCUUACAAUGUUCUCCUGUUUUUACUCCUUGGAUCAGAUUGACAAAUUGGUCUCCAGUGCCCUCCAAUGCGAGACUAUAUCGACAAGAGGGGAACAAGAGAUAGAAUCCUUCAGUUGCUUCUUAUCGGAAACUAAUUCUUCUUUGAAGGUGGGCAUUGUCAUCAAAUCUUUCAUUUUUUUCUGAACCAAAUAGACCUUACCAUGAGCCCUUUAUGUUUCAGCUCUAAUUAUCACUGCUUUUGUUCUUAUGCAGCAAUGGUCUUCCAGACUUAAGCUAGCGCUUAAAGCUUCUCCGGCCAAAAGUGAAAAUGCCUCCAAGCACACCAUGGAAACCUGUUCAAAAUCUGCUGCAAAAGGGAGUGACAAGUUGUUUCCUAGCAACAGCAUCUUACCUCCAGCAGGCCCGGCAGUACCGCCUUCACAAGAAUUGGUCUGCAGCAGCAGCAACAACUUACCAGAGAUCGAUCUGAUUGUCUCGCCUUCACCUCUUGUUUCAUGGCGUACUGGGGCAUGUAUGGUCGACAGUGGGAAGCAGUUAUUUCUCUUGACACCACUGCCAAAAUCAAAAGCACGCUCAUCCAUGUGCCCAACUUCAUCAAAAGCACAGUUGAAGACAACUGCCAGCAUGGAUGAGCUGAAUCUUCCCAAUUUACCUGUUUGGAAACUAACCAUUUCUGAUGACAACCGCCCUGAUCUGGAGCAAAGUGUGAAAGGAAUGGAAGCAAGGGCUGGUGUCUCAACACCUCAUCCUAGAAAAGCAAAGAAAAGCUCAUCAGAGGACAAUCUGUUUUCACCUCUUAGCUUCUCAAUUCAGAAGAGCAGGAGAGCACCACUGCCUACUCCUUGCCCGAAGACAGCAUUGCGAGGUAAGCAACAUGUGUUCUCUCCGAUAUCAGAGGGCUCAAGUAAGGAUGGCAUUAUCAGUGCUGGAGCAGCUGAGAGUGAAAAACCACCAUCUGGAACCUCUGAUGAGAUGCUGUCUGAUGGGAAGGAUCUGGCAUCAAGGUAUCCAGACAUGUAUGGGUUUAAUCAACCUGCCGGAGACAGGCGCCGAAUGGAAGAAGCUGAUGUGGCUCUUGAUUGGUUCCUGUCACCCCUCAAGACCUGCGUGCUAAUGGAUCCAAGUCCAACAGAUGAUAAGCCUGUUCCCCUUCCAGCAAAGGAUAACAAAUCCGUGAUAGAAAGUCCUUGGGAAGGCUGGGAAAGAAAUAAUAAGCUGGAGGGAAGACGGAAACUUUCAGAUUGCAAUCCUAUCCAAACUCUAUCAGUGCAUAGCAAGGCCUUGGUUGGUACUCCUCGGAAAGGCCUGGAAAGCAAGAAUGACCUGAAGGGAAAGCAGGAACUUUCAGAAGACAAACUCAUCCAGACCCCAGCAGUGCGCAGCAGGGCCUUGCUUGGCACUCCCUGGAAGGGCCUGGAAAGCACCAACCUGAAGGGAAGGCAUGCCGGCGAAACAACUCUCAAGAAGGAGCUCUGGACAAGAUUCGAGGCGGUCUCGACCAACGAGCUGCACCUCGACAGGUCAGUCUUCCAGAAGCCAGAUGGAAGGAGAUUCAUCGACAUGCUCGAGGAGGCUGAAUGAUUCAGUCUAGCAGCAGGAGGGCACUUGUUAUUUUCUGGCGCAGUAGCUGUGGGAUUGGGGAGUGAAACCCAUCCCUACGGUCUAUCAUGGCACAUCAUCAUGUAUGAGUGCCCGGAGCCAAAACUGCAGUGAUCUAGCACACUAUAUGCAUUUUUGCACUGAUUAUCUUGUGCAUUUUUUCGAUGCCAAACUGCGUACUCCUGCCAGAACUGUUGUGUAGACAUGGACAGCGUUGAACUGUCGAUUCAUCCCAGUCACAUAGGGGGUUGUUUGAUACAAGGAACUCGGGUGCUUUUGUGGGUGAAUUGUUUAUGUGCUUUAUGUCAUUUCGAGAUGUGCUACAAAGAAUGUAAGCAUGUUUAAUACUCCCUUUGUCUCAUAAUAUAAGACGUUUUUUUGACAUUGUUGUGUCAGAAAACGUCUUAUAUUAUGAGAUAGUGCCAAAAAACAACUUAUAUUAUGAGACAGAGGGAGUAUACGGUUAAUCUGACUAAAUGCCUGUCUAGCUCAGUUGGAAGAGCUCUUGCUUUGAUAUUUUGAGGCAAAAGCUGGGAAAAUAACUGAUGCUGUACAGUGUAGCACGUUGGUAAACUGCCAAUGUCCGACACAGGUGGCCUUCGUGUGCUAUACUGGUGUAGCCGUGAAGUAGGUCGAAAUGCAAGCCUUGUUUACAAGGACAGACUUAAUUCUAAAAAACCUAUGCAAGUUCAAAUAGAUAUGAGUACUAUUUAUACCGUUGAUGUAGGCGCUUCAGUACUACUCCUUCCGUUUCGAAAUAUUUGAAGCUCUAAGUUUGUCCUAACUCAAACUUAUUUCGGUUUGAGCAAGUCUGUAGAAAUAUAAACCAAUAUUUAACACCAAAUUAACUCCAUUAGGUUCAUCGUAAUGUAUGUUUUCAUACCAUAUAGUACAUUUGAUGAUGUGGAUGUUAUUAAUUAUUUAUACAAACUUGGUCAAACUUAAGAAAGUUUGACUUAGGACAAAUCCAGAAGUUCAAAUAGGGUGUGUUUGGAUAUUUACAACCAAACUGCCACCGCCCAAGAAAAAUGUCCGGGCCGGAAGAAAAUGUUUCAUUCUCCAGCCUCACAUAUCGCUACGAUGCUCACCUACCUCUGCGAAGCUGAAUCCAGAGAGUUUUUUUUGCAGGGAAUUAAAAGAUUUAUUUAUAUAAAGGCAUUCGCUGCGCAGUCAGCUAAAAGGAUGCUGAUCAAGAAACUCGGUGUCUCCGUAAGCCAGCUUUCGGUGACAGUCACCUCACAAGCACGCUUGACGCAGAGGUGAGCUGGUCCAUUGGCUGAUCUACUUCAUUGAACUCGNNNNNNNNNNNNNNNNNNNNNNNNNNNNNNNNNNNNNNNNNNNNNNNNNNNNNNNNNNNNNNNNNNNNNNNNNNNNNNNNNNNNNNNNNNNNNNNNNNNNCCCACGGCGUCGUGCUGCAGCAAGAUGAGGGAGCAGAGGCCGUGCAUGUGCCAGUACGCGCGCGACCCCAACCUGAAGCAGUACGUCAACUCCCCCAACGGCAAGAAGGUCCUGGCUGCCUGCAAGGUGCCCGUGCCAUCCUGUUAAAUCGACGUAUAUGGUCAGAGAUGAGAGAGCAGAGCUGCAUGUGUUCAUGUGUGAGUGUGUUUGGUUGCCGUGUGUAGCUACCCCGAUGUAUCUGUAUCUGAAAUUCUGAAUAAAUACAGUAACAAUGAUGUGUGUUGUUUUUCCCUGUAAAAAAAAGUGUGUUGUUGGUUUAAGGUGUCAUCGUGCGUUAUGUGACCGACUUCGAUUGUACUCUGCUCAAAAAAAGUCUCAUCUUGCGUUAUGUUCGGAUGGUGCUAGUGUGAGCACCACUAGAUAAGAGAUGGGCGUUGACUGGAGAAAUAACUGUUCGUUCAAAAGGCCGGCCAUCAUAUAUGGCAUAUGUUUUUCUCAAACAGGCAUGUAAGAGGUGGGCGUUGUAAUUCAUGUUUUUUUCUAAAAAAAGGAUAAGCCCGGCCUCUACAUCAUUAAAAUGCAUAUAACUAUAUUUAUUAAAACAUAAGUAUCAUCAUUCCAUACACUCAAACCAACAAAAGUAGAUACAGUGACAACUGAGUGAAAAAUUGAAAAAAUAUGUAUACAGUUUAACCUCAAUUUGACCAUGUAUUUUAGGAUUCCUAUAUAUUUUUCUAUUCCCACGAAUCAAACAAGCACUUGUUAACAUUCUUGUGUUAACACAAUCAUAUGUUUUGCUCAUUCUUGUGCUUUCAUAAUCAUCUGUUUGCGCAUGUCAGUCUGCAACGAUGGACUAAUGAUGGACCAUCUAGAAGCAAGCGGCGUCAGAAUUUAGACAAUGAGGUGAAUUUAUCUUCUGGUCUCAACUUUCUCUUAUGUUUGCUCUGGUGCUUGGUUAUGGAGAUAUGGACAUACUAUGUUGUGCUCCAGACAUGGAGCCAGUGAUGUAAUGCUUGUGUUUGCUAUGGGACCAUCUUAUAAUUCUCAUGUGGAUAUGAUAGUUGGUAAUUGGUUAUUUGAUUACUAGUAUUCCAUAUUGAAUGUGUUGAGUUUUACUUGAUGCUCUUAAAUGUUCUUAGUACGAAGAACACCUUACUGUUGUUGCAGUCCAAUAUCUUGCAAGCGAAAAAAAACCUCGCUCUCGCGACCGCGUCGCCCGNNNNNNNNNNNNNNNNNNNNNNNNNNNNNNNNNNNNNNNNNNNNNNNNNNNNNNNNNNNNNNNNNNNNNNNNNNNNNNNNNNNNNNNNNNNNNNNNNNNNUCGGUGGAAGAGGGCAGGGGCGCCCCCGUGGAGCGAUUCUACCCGUAGAUUUGGCCGGAAUCGCGAGCGGAACCAAUGGCGGGCGGGCGGCGGAAGGAGGUGGGGAAAGGGCAUGGGCUGAAAUGUCCCUCCCGCCAACCGCUUUUCUAGGAUACGGGGCACCAUAGGGAUGAGGCGGAAACCUAUGUUUUCGUGGGUCGGCGGUGGGAUUUUGUCGCGUCUCUCAAAAAAAUUUACGGGUCCAACGCGUUUGCGGGGUCUGACCGGGCAACAUUUUUCGCGCCGACCCGUAUUUUAACGGUUAUUUUGCAGAUCGUAGCGUUAUACGGGUCUGCUAGAGAUGCUCUUAGAGUUGUUUGAACCGUCCGGUUCUGUUAUUUAAACUUUGGUGCUAAGACACUUUUUUUCAUUCUUGUGUUUGAUGUCUCGUUAUCUAGCGGAACCCGGUUCAAUAUGGAUAGAAUGGGGAAAAGCCAUCAUCCUGCUUACUCGCACAUGUUUUUUUUAACACAAUAUAGACAUAGACAUACUCAUACAUUGAUAUAUAUGCACAUGCAUUCAUUCAUAUAAACGCAUGCAUGCACUAUGCACCUUAAUAGAAUGACUCGGUAUAUUUUUUUGAGAUUGACGAAGUCGCUAUAGGCGCAUUCGUCGAAGGGAACAUUUCCCCACAGAACGCACAUUGUGAAAAGCUUAAAAUAAAUUGAAAGAAAUGUGAGCAUCAGUUUCAAAUAUAGAACUUAAACUGUGAUGGGCCGAAGAUACCACUUGCCUACUGACCAUCACUGAUCAUCUGACCACAAAUUAGUUCGCUUACAUAUUUUUUUUGUUCACUUGCACAUGCAAGCAUGGAAAGUACCAAUGCAAAAUACUUUCUCCGUUCCUAAGUAUAAGACCUUUUAGAGAUUNNNNNNNNNNNNNNNNNNNNNNNNNNNNNNNNNNNNNNNNNAGUAUAGAUUCAUUCAUUUUAUUCCGUGUGUAGUCUCGUAACGGAAUCUUUAAAAGGUCUUAUAUUUUGGAACGGAGGGAGUACAUUUGUAUUCCAUGUUUUGUCAUACUUUAUUUUGCGAGUGAGCACGCGCGAGUUGAGCUAGCUACGAUCUCAGAUCUCCAUCUUGCCCCGUCGGCCGUAUGGGUAUCGUGCUGUGCUGUUGUACUGUACAUAGCCUCCCCAUUUAACGAACGAAAUCAAUGGGUCGUUAGUGUCACACACAUCAUCACGUACGAUGGGAUGGUGCUUAAUUAAGAGCACUUGUAAUACGUAUAAGUGGUACGUAUACGCCGUAUAGUCCUCGCGUACGUACUACCACGUCGGACGCCACGCUCGGUGCAUGCAUGCAUGCAUGGUCUGUGCUGUACGUACGUGUGCAUGCAACGUCGCCACCUGCAUAUAUAUAUGGAUCCCUCUUCAAUUUCCUUUAGCAAAUAAGGCUGUGUGUAAAGGGAGUAUCAUAGAUAGUAUCAUAUAUGUCAACUAAUCAAUUUCGGUAAGCUGCAUAAAAUUAAAUAAGAAAAAAAAGGUUGAGUAUCAUAUUAUGAUACCGUAUCAUAUUAUGAUACCGUAUCAUAUUAAAUGAUGUGCUACUAUAUGUCUUGCAUGACAAUAAAUAAAUUAUCAUAUGAUAGUAACAUAUGAUAUUAUGCAUUAGGAACGUGGUAUCAUACACUAUCCAUUACAACCAGGCUAAUAAUACGAUCCGUGCACGUGCUGUCCUGGCAAGCCUCGUGGGCCCACGGUAUCUCUACGAGCUAUCCUGUCCCGAACGGACGGCGAGAUCUCCUCCACUCCACGACCACCAGCAAAGCCGGGCGGGCGCCAUGUCAUGUCACCCCGGCCGCCACCGGGUCAGGGGAUCAGGAUAGGCCUAUCCGGAGCCGGCCGCGUGGCGCCCUCCCUAUGGGCCUCGCUCAUCUCCGCCCCGCGCCACGCAAACCUCAUCGACGGCCAAGCGUUUCAAAUCCUUAACAGCAUCCGCCGGCCGAUCCCCGCAGCUCCAGAAGCAGAAGCAGGACACUCCUCCCACCGCACAGCUCGACCGCAAUGGCGUCGCUCGUCGCCGUCCAGCCGGCCGCCGUAAAGGGCCUCUCCGGCAGCUCCAUCUCCGGCCGCAAGCUCGCCGUCCGGCCCUCCUCCGCCGCCGCCUCCCGCUCCACCCGCAGGUAUACGAACUUACACACACACGGCUUAGUAAACGCAUGACACGCCACGCACACCACCGAGAGAGCAACGGAGCGUGAUUCACUCAAGCUCCGUCGCACGCCAUGGACGCAUGCAGGGCUCGCGGGGCGGCGGUGGUGGCCAAGUACGGGGAGAAGAGCGUGUACUUCGACCUGGACGACAUCGCCAACACGACGGGGCAGUGGGACCUGUACGGCAGCGACGCGGCGUCGCCCUACAACGGCCUGCAGAGCAAGUUCUUCAACACCUUCGCCGCGCCCUUCACCAAGCGCGGCCUGCUGCUCAAGUUCCUGCUCAUCGGCGGCGGCUCCCUGGUCGCCUACGUCAGCGCAUCCGCCUCCCCCGACCUGCUCCCCAUCAAGAAGGGGCCCCAGCUGCCGCCCACCCCGGGACCACGCGGCAAGAUCUAAAUCUAAUCCUCGCCUCGCCUCGCCUCGUGCUUGUGUACCAUGGAUCCCGUCUGAUCUCAUGGAUCGGAAUCGGAUCCCCCGUAUCCAUGUCUUUCUGUUGAUACUUGAUGCUGUACCUUGUUGCCUACGUGAUGCACACAAUUACUGCUAGAUCAUUUGCUCUUUAAUC
rnacentral:lncRNA from 1 species